AACGAACGCUGGCGGCAGGCCUAACACAUGCAAGUCGAACGUGAAGCCACCUUCGGGUGGUGGAAAGUGGCAGACGGGUGAGUAACGCGUGGGAACGUGCCUUUCGGUUCGGAAUAACCCAGGGAAACUUGGGCUAAUACCGGAUACGCCCUUCGGGGGAAAGAUUUAUCGCCGAAAGAUCGGCCCGCGUCGGAUUAGCUAGUUGGUAGGGUAAUGGCCUACCAAGGCGACGAUCCGUAGCUGGUCUGAGAGGAUGACCAGCCACAUUGGGACUGAGACACGGCCCAGACUCCUACGGGAGGCAGCAGUGGGGAAUAUUGGACAAUGGGCGAAAGCCUGAUCCAGCCAUGCCGCGUGGGUGAAGAAGGCCCUAGGGUUGUAAACCCCUUUCAGCGGGGAAGAUAAUGACGGUACCCGCAGAAGAAGCCCCGGCUAACUCCGUGCCAGCCGCCGCAGUAACAC
rnacentral:rRNA from 1 species